rfam:Selaginella moellendorffii unplaced genomic scaffold SELMOscaffold_18, whole genome shotgun sequence.
GUGUGUCUGUGAUAUUGACAAGGCUCAAUCAGGCUGCAAUGCUACUCGAGCUAAUUAGUGAUGCUGCCAGCUUGAGCCGUGCCAAUAUCACAUAGAUAGCU